UACCUGAAGCUUGUACUCAGCCUACCCGGCAGGCCCAGAGAGCAAAUCAGGUGCACCUACAGGUUAACGAUGGGCAAUCAGAUAGCUCAGAUCGCGGUGUCGGCACAGUUUCCUUGAGCCACAGACUGUUAAAAGCCUCGAAAGCACAGCAAAGUUGAUACGGUGGGAUUUCAAAACUUUUCAAACCAUGACUUGAGAGAGACUCAACGAAUACAUCAAAUAGGUGCUGUUUUAUGUGUACAUUCAUGUUUAAAUUGUUAGUCAGCACCACUGUCAACACUUUGUUCUAUACGUUUUAUAAGUCAUAAACUGCACACGUUUACAACCAGCAUUACAGCUGCAAUGAAUGAGUAUAGCAAAGUGUUCCAAUAAACUUGCUUUGUUAUUAUUAGAAUAUAAGGCGAACGCGGCAAAUGUUUCGUGUUCUAAUCUCAUCAUGGACAACUUUAGCAUUUUAGCUACUUUGCAACUAUUUAGCAUGUUAGUCAACCCUUCCCCUAACCCUUAUAAUAGCCUAGCUAAUGUAACCGUUAGCCAAUUAACAACAAGUAAUUGAAAUUCGUAACAUAUCACUUCAUUUAUAUAGCAAAUUUGUACUAAUUGUAAUUCGUAACAUUUCAUUUGAAAUAUAUGAUGGACGUCCACAAAUUAAUACAUGUCAUAUAAAACGUAACAUAUCAUGCAAAAUGGUGGAGACAGAUUUACAUUUACUAUGUUGGCUGGUGAUCACUGCUUUAAAGCAACGUAGGGCCUUGCGGCCAGAUGUUGUUGCAUUGUUUGUAGACAGACCUUUAUAUACAGUACCAGUCAAAAGUUUGGACACACAUACUCAUUCCAGGGUUUUUCUUAAUUUGAACUAUUUUCUACAUUGUAGAAUAAUAGUGGAGACAUCAAAAUUAUGAAAUAACACAUAUGGAAUCAUGUAGUAACCAAAAAAGUGUUAAACAAAUCAAAAUAUAUUUUAUAUUUGAGAUUCUUCAAAGUAGCCACCCUUUGCCUUGAUGACAGCUUUGCACAUGUUGGCAUUCUCUCAACCAGCUUCAUGAGGUGCAUUUCAAUUAACCGGUGUGCCUUAUUAAAAGUUCAUUUGUGGAAUUUCUUUAAUUCUUAAUGUGUUUGAGCCAAUCAGUUGUGUUGUGACAAGGUAGGGAUGGUAUACAGAAGAUAGCCGUAUUUUGUAAAAGACCAAGUCCAUAUUAUGGCAAGAACAGCUCAAAUAAGCAAAGAGAAAUGACAGUCCAUCAUUACUUUAAGACAUAAAUCUCAGUCAAUCCGGACAAUAUCAAGAACUUUGUUUCUUCAAGUGCAGUUUCAAAAAUCAUCAAGCUCUAUGUUAAAACUGGCUCUCACAAGGACUGCCACAGGAAAAGAAGACCCAGAGUUACAUCUGCUGCAGAAGAUAUGUUCAUUAGAGUUACCAGCCUCACAAAUUGCAGCUCAAGUAAUUGCUUCACAGAGUUCAACAGACACAUCUCAACAUCCACUGUUCAGAGGAGACUGCGUGACUCAGGACUUCAUGGUCGAAUUGCUGCAAAGAAACCACUACUAAAGGACAGCAAUAAUAAGAAGAGACUUACUUGGGCAAAGAAACACGAGCAAUGGACAUUAGACCGGUGGAAAUCUGCCCCUUUGGUCUGAUGAGUCCAAAUUUUAGAUUUUUGGUUCCAACCGCCGUGUCUUUGUGAGACGCAGAGUAGGUGAACGGAUGAUCGCCGCAUGUGUGGAAAAGCAUUCCAGGUGAAGCUGGUUGAGAGAAUGCCAAGCGUGUUCAACAAGGUAAAGGGUGGCUACUUUGAAGAAUCUAAAAUAUAUGCUUCGUCAACAUCUGGAAUGUGCAUUGUAGUCUUCAUCAAGCCCAGGCUGCUCUGUUGUCCAUUAUGUGAGCGAUAAUGCCUAUUACUACUAUCUAUACGUUCAUCACACAUUCACAAAAACACUAGAUAGAUCUACUUCCCUCACAGACCAAAGUUUGAUUGUGAAUAGGUCAACAAAUUCUAGCAUAUGGAGGGUGCUGUCUUACUGUUUUCCCAAACAGAUCCUGUUUACCAUUUGAUUAUGCUCUAUAAAAUAUUUUUAAGGGGCAAAAGGAAAUCAUGUAAGUUCACUGAGGCACAGAUAGAACAAUGAGCCAGAUAUUUCACCAGAUGUGUAAAUGUGAAGCAUCCGGGUGGCGUUUCCACCCACUACCAAAUAUGGUGAUGAGAGGAAGCCCAGUGGCCGCUAGUGGAAAAAAUGGGCCGAGAUGGAUUUUGGCCAACAUUCUGCACCUUUUCUCAUCGAUGGAAUAGUUUUCUUUCUGUUUCCAAAACUAGAAUCUGUAACAAACCGAGUGGACGGCGUUUUGUAGACUUUACACUUUGCCAAAGUUUCGAAAAUUGUUUAGAAGUUAUUGCGCACAGAGUAGCCGUUCCCCUAAGGGAAAUAUGCAAAUAAAUGUCAGCACGCGCCAAUAGGCUCUCACUAGCUCGUGUUUGGUUCUGCCAACCUCCUUGCUUGUUCGGCCCACUAUGAUACAUUUGCUCCCGUUGGAAACGACAGGCUCUGGUCUAUCUUGGGUUAGUUAUACAAAUCUUUGACUGAUGUGUUGGUCCGUCUGACUCCAGGUUGUGGCGAUAGUGCGCAACAGUAUGGAGCAGAUUUCACGCCAUAUGUAUUGAAUUUAAAAUAAAAUAAAUCGUAAACAUGAAAAAUAAAGUUGAAAAUGCAAACAGUAUAUUUUCGAGGAAGGGUGAAAUAAUGGAUGUUGAAAUCAAAAACCGAACAAUUAAAGCAAAAUGUAUAGAUUUGUAAACAAAAAUAAUGACAUCAAAAGCAAAACCUCCAAACUUGCAGGCAAAUAAUUUUAAAGCGAGAGCUAAGCUUUAUGACAAAUGAUUAAAACAAAUAUUUGAAAAUGAAUGCAAAAUCGUUUUCAGUUUAACUUUCCCAACAACCAAUCAUAUUGAAUCAAUUUUGCCUACGCUCUUGCCUGCAUUUACUACAUUUUGGUUACGUUACUCAUAUCCUUGCUUUCGAUGUCUGUUUUUUUGCUUUCUCUCCCAGUGUUUUCAAUACCGAGUUGUGUCAUUAUUUUUCCGUGAAGGGCGGGGUUUAGAGGGAGGCGUAGACAAUGAGUCUCCAUUGGUCCACUAGUUCUGGAGUGACGGUUCAUCCUAACCCAAUCAGUGAACAUGAUAUACAGGAUUUUCUUUCUAUUGGCUACUUAACCAGAUGGCCUGACUCCACUACCACCCGCCAAAUCUUUCCCCCAUGUACUAAACAUGACGAAUCAGUUAUCAACACCUGCGCCGAACUUUGGGCAACAGGCGUUAUGGAGAAGCUCCUCAACAGAUUGCAGCAGGCAAUGCAACACCUUCCUCUGGUUUUUGAUUAGUUUGCCAGCACCAAUGAGAUUAUAAUUAUCAGAUCACUAGCAAAUCAAGUAGACUUGCCUCAAAAGGUAGUGCAGGGUCUUUCCAACCUGUAUAGUCUAGUCAAUGCUGAAAUGGAAGAAAGAUGUGCCCCAUCAAUUGUUGAGUUGGAUGGUGAAAUGGGACGUCCUAAACUGAUUGUGUCAGAACAGCACCUUCGACAGGUGAUUGAAAUGGAUCUGCCUGUACCUUGCAACUGCUUGGCAUCUCAUCAAAAACUGACUAACGUAGAAUGCAGGAAUACGGUAUCAUGGUGAGGGGAACAUACAGCCAAAUGAUAGACGAGGAGCUGGACAAUCUGGUGGACACAAUCAAGACAAGUUCACCACAAUUAGGAUGGUGAGUUAACGUCUGAAAGCACUGGGUCAUCGAGUCCAGUGGACCCGAGUGUGGGACUCAGUGCAUCGUGUAGAUGAUGCAGGAAUACAGGAAAGAAUGGCACAACUUGGAUGUGUUGUCAGAAGAACAUACUCUGUUUGUCUUUCACUCAUACAUGUGGACACCAACCACAAGUUGAUCAGUGUCAUCAAACCAGAUCUGUGGACACAAACGGGAAAAGAGCUCGGGAGAUAAUGAGCGAGAAUCUUGAGGUCACCUACAAGGGAGAAGAGCGUGACUUUCUGAAGAAUGAGUCAAUACAAAGGAAACAAGACGAGGAAAAAGGCAAAAGAGAAGUUGGAGAAGACUGCUCAGAGGCACUGUUAGCAGAUUCCAAACCAAGGGAUGAAAAGGCUUUCUUUUUUACCCUGUGAAAGGAUGAAAAGGAUGCAUGAACAUAAAAUUCAGACUGAUCAACAAAUGUGUCCUACCUCAUUGAUCUGUGUUGUAAAUAAAGAGCACCUAUUGAAAUCAAUUAUAUUUAUCAAUCUGUCUAAGAGGAAUGUCAGUAUUUUCUAUCAUUUUAAUGGAAAUAAGUUGUAUUAUACUGAGCAAUAAAUACAAAGAUGCAAACAA